UUGUCUCAAAGAUUAAGCCAUGCAUGUCUAAGUACAAGCCGAAUUAAGGUGAAACCGCGAAAGGCUCAGUAAAUCAGUUAUGGUUCCUUAGAUCGUACCCGCAGUUACUUGGAUAACUGUGGUAAUUCUAGAGCUAAUACAUGCAAACAGAACUCCGACCGGAGACGGGAGGAGCGCUUUUAUUAGAUCAAAACCAAUCGGCGGUCGCGCGCCGGUCGUUCGCGGCCGGCCGCGUCGUCGUACGUUUUGGUGAAUCGGAAUAACUUUGCUGAUCGCACGGUCUCGCACCGGCGACGCAUCUUUCAAAUGUCUGCCUUAUCAACUGUCGAUGGUAGGUUCUGCGCCUACCAUGGUCGUAACGGGUAACGGGGAAUCAGGGUUCGAUUCCGGAGAGGGAGCCUGAGAAACGGCUACCACAUCCAAGGAAGGCAGCAGGCGCGCAAAUUACCCACUCCCGGCACGGGGAGGUAGUGACGAAAAAUAACGAUACGGGACUCAUCCGAGGCCCCGUAAUCGGAAUGAGUACACUUUAAAUCCUUUAACGAGGAUCAAUUGGAGGGCAAGUCUGGUGCCAGCAGCCGCGGUAAUUCCAGCUCCAAUAGCGUAUAUUAAAGUUGUUGCGGUUAAAAAGCUCGUAGUUGAAUUUGUGUGCCGCGCCGCCGGUUCAUCGCUCGCGGUGUCAACUGGCGUGUCCGCGGUACGUCCUGCCGGUGGGCGCAGCCCGUAAAAAGGCGGCCCAACCUAGCAAUCCCGCCGCGGUGCUCUUCGCUGAGUGUCGAGGUGGGCCGGCACGUUUACUUUGAACAAAUUAGAGUGCUUAAAGCAGGCUAAAACUUUGCCUGAAUAGUGUGUGCAUGGAAUAAUGGAAUAGGACCCCGGUUCUAUUUUGUUGGUUUUCGGAACCCCGAGGUAAUGAUUAAUAGGGACGGAUGGGGGCAUUCGUAUUGCGACGUUAGAGGUGAAAUUCUUGGAUCGUCGCAAGACGGACGUAAGCGAAAGCAUUUGCCAAAAAUGUUUUCAUUAAUCAAGAACGAAAGUCAGAGGUUCGAAGGCGAUCAGAUACCGCCCUAGUUCUGACCAUAAACGAUGCCAGCCAGCGAUCCGCCGACGUUCCUCCGAUGACUCGGCGGGCAGCUUCCGGGAAACCAAAGCUUUUGGGUUCCGGGGGAAGUAUGGUUGCAAAGCUGAAACUUAAAGGAAUUGACGGAAGGGCACCACCAGGAGUGGAGCCUGCGGCUUAAUUUGACUCAACACGGGAAACCUCACCAGGCCCGGACACCGGAAGGAUUGACAGAUUGAGAGCUCUUUCUUGAUUCGGUGGGUGGUGGUGCAUGGCCGUUCUUAGUUGGUGGAGCGAUUUGUCUGGUUAAUUCCGAUAACGAACGAGACUCUAGCCUGCUAAAUAGGCGUAUUUCCGGCAUCUCGAAGGGCCGCCGGGCGGUCGCGGAACGGGGUACGUUCGUCGGGGACGUCGGCGUUCGCGCCGGCGCUCUCGCGUCGUGCCUCGCUUCCCCCGUCCGCGCGCGCUUUUUACUGCCGGCGUACAAGCAGUUCUUCUUAGAGGGACAGGCGGCUUCUAGCCGCACGAGAUUGAGCAAUAACAGGUCUGUGAUGCCCUUAGAUGUUCUGGGCCGCACGCGCGCUACACUGAAGGAAUCAGCGUGUCUUCCCUGCCCGAGAGGGCCGGGUAACCCGUUGAACCGCCUUCGUGCUAGGGAUUGGGGCUUGCAAUUGUUCCCCAUGAACGAGGAAUUCCCAGUAAGCGCGAGUCAUAAGCUCGCGAUGAUUACGUCCCUGCCCUUUGUACACACCGCCCGUCGCUACUACCGAUUGAAUGAUUUAGUGAGGUCUUCGGACCGGUACGCGGCGGCGUUUCGCGCGUCGCCGAUGUUGCUGGGAAGAUGACCGAACUUGAUCAUUU
rnacentral:rRNA from 1 species